rnacentral:rRNA from 1 species
CAUUACUAUAAUGUUAAUGCCCUGGAUCUCAUCAAAAUGCUGCAGUAAAGUGAGACUAGAGUAGUACUGGGAUGGGUGACCUCCCAGGAAUUCCUAGUGUUUUACAUGC